rnacentral:rRNA from 1 species
UACGAAGGGGGCUAGCGUUGCUCGGAAUCAUUGGGCGUAAAGGGUGCGUAGGUGGCGCUGUAAGUGGGGUGUGAAAUCCCGGGGCUUAACCCCGGGACUGCAUUCCAUACUGCGGUGCUUGAGGACUGGAGAGGAGACUGGAAUUUACGGUGUAGCAGUGAAAUGCGUAGAGAUCGUAAGGAAGACCAGUGGCGAAGGCGGGUCUCUGGACAGUUCCUGACACUGAGGCACGAAGGCCAGGGGAGCAAACGGG